GUAGGUGGCAAGCGUUGUCCGGGAAUUAUUGGGGCGUAAAGCGCGCGCAGGCGGUUCUUUAAGUCUGAUGUGAAAGCCCACGGCUCAACCGUGGAGGGUCAUUGGAAACUGGAGAACUUGAGUACAGAAGAGGGAAGCGGAAUUCCACGUGUAGCGGUGAAAUGCGUAGAGAUGUGGAGGAACACCAGUGGCGAAGGCGGCUUUCUGGUCUGUAACUGACGCUGAGGCGCGAAAGCGUGGGGAGCAAACAGGAUUAGAUACCCUGGUAGUCCACGCCGUAAACGAUGAGUGCUAAGUGUUAGGGGGUUUCCGCCCCUUAGUGCUGCAGCUAACGCAUUAAGCACUCCGCCUGGGGAGUACGGCCGCAAAGGCUG
rnacentral:rRNA from 1 species